UACGUAGGGGGCUAGCGUUGUCCGGAAUCAUUGAGCGUAAAGCGCGUGUAGGCGGUCCGGUAAGUCGGGUGUGAAAUCUCGGAGCUUAACUCCGAAACUGCAUUCGAUACUGCCGUGCUUGAGGACUGGAGAGGAGACUGGAAUUUACGGUGUAGCGGUGAAAUGCGUAGAUAUCGUAAGGAACACCCGUGGCGAAGGCGGCUCUCUGGGACGGUACUGACGCUGAGACGCGAAAGCGUGGGGAGCGAACAGG
rnacentral:rRNA from 1 species